rnacentral:lncRNA from 1 species
UUAUUAUGGAUGAUGUUCAUUUAAUUAUAGUCAGAUGAUUUAACCUGAAUUUUUAAGAUGAAGAAGAGAAACGCAAAGUGAGAAAUCUAUCCUUGUAUUGCUGAUCCCUGAAAUCGCUGGUGUUGAAGUUUGCCUGGACAACAUGCGCUGAGAGGUGCCUGGAAGGAAUGAGACGGGGGUCAGGAAGUGCAUCCCCUUUCAAUGGCCUUGUAUUCCUGAACCUAAAACAAGCAAUUCCAGCAGAAAUGUUUGUCAAAUUAAACCAGGAAAUACGUCAGUAUUUUUGAAGGAAAUGAGGAGCAGAGGGAAAGUGUCUCUAGUUUGUGAAAAUACAGAGAGGAAAGCAUGCCUGGAAGCCUGUGGCCCGGGCCUUGCCUCCGUCAGGUUCUCUUCACUCUGGAAGGACGCAGUGACCUUCGUGGCGUAAAGGUCAGGGCCGAGUCAGAGGGGUGGGCCUGCCGCCGGCUCCUGCCUAACUAGACUUCACAGUCUGCACCUUUUGAAAGCACUGAGUAGCAAUAUCUGCAAGUGCUCGGCCUGCAAGAUGAGCUGCGGUGAAGACCAGGACAGCCGGGGAGGUAGGGAAGCGUCAGGAGUCCUGUUGGGGAUUGAAGCAGAGCCAGCCCUGUCCGCUUCAGCCACCGGAGCAGUGACUGGUGUGGGACCUGGCUCCUUGGGCCACUCAGAAUCCUCAGAGUCCAGCAGGAAUCAACUCCCGUGAUCUCCUAAGGUGAGUAGAAAUGAAGAUAGGCAAGAACUGAAUCUUCAAAGAACAUUAACAAGCCACUGCUUGUUUGCACCCGUCCUGGCUCCAUGCAAUUUACUUUAAUGCAUGGCACUAAACCACAUCAUGCCCAUCAGAGUGCCUGCGACACAGGACGUAAUCAAUAGGAAGCUGUCAGCAAAUGCUGCUGAAGAGUGAGUGACACAUGGUGAUCCUUGGGAGUAAGUGAUAUUCCUACUUCUUCCGUAUUUUACAGAUGAGAGUGAGACUCAGAUGUGAGUGAAUGAAGACCAUGACUUCUUUUAUGGCUUGAAAGAAAUCAGUAACCCCGUGUCAGAACCUUAGAAUCUUAUGUAACUCAACUGCUCAUUGAGGCUAUUGUCACAGGUUCUCCAUGUCUAAAGAGAAUCAGAUUAAUCUUCAGCCUUGAAGGGUCCUAGUUUUCUCUAAAGUUGCUCUGGAGUUGUGGUUUCAGAGGUGCUUAUGUGUGUGUAAGUGCUUCAGUUUUUGCACAAAACUUUUGCAGAUAUAUAUAUACACAUACACAUAUACAUAUAUAAUAUGCAGAUGUCCAAUAACAAAAUUGAUUAUAAAAGAAGAGGGAGAAAAAACAGAAAGAGGAGGAGGAAAACGACAGAAAGAAGGGAAAGGAGAAAAAGAAUUAAAAAAAAAAAAGAGAAAGGAGGGGGAAGGGCGAGCAGGACUUUUGCUUUCUGCUACAGUGGUGGGUGGAACCCAGAGCCAUUGCCCUAGAAUCCUCCUGCCUGUUUAAGCCCUCACUGCAGUCACUCCCCAGCCUUCCAGAGACCUCAAAGGGCCAGUUCUUCACUGCAGUUUAAACCUGCUCCUCCAGCAUUCUGAAAUGCAGAAAGGUCUCUUCUUUGUACCCUGUGCUGCCUUGAUCCCAUGUGACACGUCUAAUCAUUUAAUGACAACAUGGAAAAAGGAAUGCAUUCUCCUCCUGCCCCUACCCUUCCAGGA